AGCAGAGUGUCGUAGUGGUUUGAGUGUUGGACUACAACUCUGAAGUCCAGAGUUUGAAUCUCAGCUCAGCCA